CCUACGGGAGGCAGCAGUGGGGAAUAUUGGUCAAUGGGCGGAAGCCUGAACCAGCCAAGCCGCGUGAAGGAAGAAGGCUCCACGCUUCGUAAACUUCUUUUUUCGGGGAGCAAAGGGCGCCACGUGUGGCGUUGUUAGUGUACCCGAAGAAAAAGCAUCGGCUAACUCGGUGCCAGCAGCCGCGGUAAUACGGAGGAUGCGAGCGUUAUCCGGAUUGAUGGGGUUUAAAGGGUGCGUAGGCGGUCCGGAAAGUCAGCGGUAAAAGCCCGGGGCUAAACCCCGGCGAGCCGUUGAAACUGGUGGUCUAGAGAGGGAGAGAAGUACGCGGAAUGCGAGGUGGAGCGGUGAAAUGCAUAGAUAUCGGGAAGAACGCCGAUUGCGAAGGCAGCGUACCGGCGCCGGACUGACGCUGAGGCACGAAAGCGUGGGGAGCGAACAGGAUUAGAUACCCCAGUAGUC
rnacentral:rRNA from 1 species